UACGAAGGGGGCGAGCGUUGCUCGGAAUUACUGGGCGUAAAGCGCGCGUAGGCGGCUUUGUAAGUUAGAGGUGAAAGCCCGGAGCUCAACUCCGGAACUACCUUUAAAACUGCAUCGCUUGAAUCCAGGAGAGGUGAGUGGAAUUCCGAGUGUAGAGGUGAAAUUCGUAGAUAUUCGGAAGAACACCAGUGGCGAAGGCGGCUCACUGGACUGGUAUUGACGCUGAGGUGCGAAAGCGUGGGGAGCAAACAGG
rnacentral:rRNA from 1 species